GUGAAGAACGCAGCGAAAUGCGAUAAGUAGUGUGAAUUGCAGAAUUCCGUGAAUCAUCGAAUCUUUGAACGCACAUUGCGCCCGCCAGUAUUCUGGCGGGCAUGCCUGUUCGAGCGUCAUUUCAACCAUCAAGCCCCCGGCUUGUGUUGGGGACCUGCGGCUGCCGCAGGCCCUGAAAUGCAGUGGCGGGCUCGCUGUCACUCCGAGCGUAGUAGUUACAUCUCGCUCUGGGCGUGCUGCGGGUUCCGGCCGUUAAAAGCCUUAUUUACCCAAGGUUGACCUCGGAUCAGGUAGGAAGACCCGCUGAACUUAAGCAUAUCAAUAAGCGGAGGA
rnacentral:misc_RNA from 1 species